AAAGAAAGCUUCUCUCGUGGAUGACACACAUAGGACAACUAGACUGUUCUUCAUAUAGAAUCAACAUCAAGAGAUUUUUAAAAGCAUAAUUUUUUGUAGUUGGGCAGCUGGUAAUAAUUGGUCCUAGCAUCUCU
rnacentral:snRNA from 1 species